UACGUAGGGUGCGAGCGUUGUCCGGAAUUACUGGGCGUAAAGAGCUCGUAGGUGGUUUGUCGCGUUGUUCGUGAAAACUCACAACUCAAUUGUGGGCGUGCGGGCGAUACGGGCAGACUGGAGUACUGCAGGGGAGACUGGAAUUCCGGGUGUAGCGGUGAAAUGCGCAGAUAUCAGGAGGAACACCGGUGGCGAAGGCGGAUCUCUGGGCCUUACCUGACGCUGAGGAGCGAAAGCGUGGGGAGCGAACAGG
rnacentral:rRNA from 1 species